GACGAACGCUGGCGGCGUGCUUAACACAUGCAAGUCGAACGGUAAGGCCCUUCGGGGUACACGAGUGGCGAACGGGUGAGUAACACGUGGGUGAUCUGCCCUGCACUUCGGGAUAAGCCUGGGAAACUGGGUCUAAUACCGGAUAGGACCCUGGGAUGCAUGUCCUGGGGUGGCAAGCUUUUGCGGUGUGGGAUGGGCCCGCGGCCUAUGAGCUUGUUGGUGGGGUGAUGGCCUACCAAGGCGACGACGGGUAGCCGGCCUGAGAGGGUGACCGGCCACACUGGGACUGAGAUACGGCCCAGACUCCUACGGGAGGCAGCAGUGGGGAAUAUUGCACAAUGGGCGCAAGCCUGAUGCAGCGACGCCGCGUGAGGGAUGACGGCCUUCGGGUUGUAAACCUCUUUCAGCACCGACGAAGCGCAAGUGACGGUAGGUGCAGAAGAAGGACCGGCCAACUACGUGCCAGCCGCCGCAGUAA
rnacentral:rRNA from 1 species